rnacentral:tRNA from 1 species
GGAUUGUAGCUCAGUGGUAAGAGUGCUUGCCUAGCAUGCAUGAUGCACUGGGUUCGACCCUCAGCACCA